GACGAACGCUGGCGGCGUGCUUAACACAUGCAAGUCGAGCGGAGCGGCGAACGGGUGAGUAACGCGUGAGUAACUGCCCCCCUCUCUGGGAUAACAGUUGGAAACGGCUGCUAAUACCGGAUAGUGGGGUGGGACUCGCGUCCUAUCAGCUUGUUGGUGGGGUAGUGGCCUACCAAGGCGACGACGGGUAGCCGGCCUGAGAGGGCGACCGGCAACAUGGGGCUAGGUGCCGGCCCAAGCCCCUUCGGGAGGCAGCAGUGGGGAAGAUUGCACCAGGGGGGAACCCCUGAUGACGCACCGCGCGUGCGGGGUGACGGCCUUCGGGUUGUAAACCGCUUUCAGCGAUGACGCGGAAGUGACAGAAGAGGCACGGGCAAACAACGUACCAGGAGCCGCGGUAAAAC
rnacentral:rRNA from 1 species